GACGAACGCUGGCGGCGGGCUUAACACAUGCAAGUCGAACGGAAAGGCCCUGCUUUUGUGGGGUGCCCGAGGGGCGAACGGGUGAGUAACAGGUGAGUAACCUGCCCUUGACUUUGGGAUAACUUCAGGAAACUGGGGCUAAUACCGGAUAGGAGCUCCCGCUGCAUGGAGGGGGUUGGAAAGUUUCGGCGGGCGGGGAUGGACUCGCGGCUUAUCAGCUUGUUGGUGGGGUAGUGGCUUACCAAGGCAUUGACGGGUAGCCGGCCUGAGAGGGUGACCGGCCACAUUGGGCCUGAGAUACGGCCCAGUCUCCUACGUGAGGCAGCAGUGGGGAAUAUUGCACAGUGGGCGGAAGCCUGAUGCAGCAACGCCGCGUGCGGGAUGACGGCCUUCGGGUUGUAAACCGCUUUCGCCUGUGACGAAGCGUGAGUGACGGUAAUGGGUAAAGAAGCACCGGCUAACUACGUG
rnacentral:rRNA from 1 species